AUUGAACGCUGGCGGCAGGCCUAACACAUGCAAGUCGAGCGGCAGCGGAAAGUAGCUUGCUACUUUGCCGGCGAGCGGCGGACGGGUGAGUAAUGUCUGGGAAACUGCCUGAUGGAGGGGGUUAACUACUGGAAACGGUAGCUAAUACCGCAUAACGUCGCAAGACCAAAGAGGGGGACCUUCGGGCCUCUUGCCAUCAGAUGUGCCCAGAUGGGAUUAGCUAGUAGGUGGGGUAACGGCUCAACUAGGCGACGAUCCCUAGCUGGUCUGAGAGGAUGACCAGCCACACUGGAACUGAGACACGGUCCAGACUCCUACGGGAGGCAGCAGUGGGGAAUAUUGCACAAUGGGCGCAAGCCUGAUGCAGCCAUGCCGCGUGUAUGAAGAAGGCCUUCGGGUUGUAAAGUACUUUCAGCGGGGAGGAAGGUGUUGAGGUUAAUAACCUCAGCAAUUGACGUUACCCGCAGAAGAAGCACCGGCUAACUCCGUGCCAGCAGCCGCCGUAAAAC
rnacentral:rRNA from 1 species